UACGAAGGGGGGCUAGCGUUGCUCGGAAUCACUGGGCGUAAAGGGUGCGUAGGCGGGUCUUUAAGUCAGGGGUGAAAUCCUGGAGCUCAACUCCAGAACUGCCUUUGAUACUGAAGAUCUUGAGUUCGGGAGAGGUGAGUGGAACUGCGAGUGUAGAGGUGAAAAUUCGUAGAUAUUCGCAAGAACACCAGUGGCGAAGGCGGCUCACUGGCCCGAUACUGACGCUGAGGCACGAAAAGCGUGGGGAGCAAACAGGG
rnacentral:rRNA from 1 species